rnacentral:rRNA from 1 species
AGAAGCGGGACGAUCGCAACUACUACUGGCCCCUUACGACAGGGCUACACACGUGCUACAAUGGGAAGGACAAAGAGCCGAAGCCGCGAGGUCUAGCUAAUCUCACAAAUCUUCUCGAGUCCGGAUUGGAGUCUGCAACUCGACUCCAUGAAGUCGGAAUCGCUAGUAAUCGUAGAUCAGAAUGCUACGGUGAAUACGUUCCCGGGUCUU